GGGGGCGAUUUAGCGUCGACAUUUAUGGGUUGAAAUCGGUCAAGCGUGUGGGCGGCGUGGGCAUACCUUAAUUGGCCACAAAAGGUUAAAUGCAAACCAUAAAAAUGCAAACCUCGCUCUUGCUGCUUAAUUUAUUAGGAAGUUAGAGGUAAACGGGGAGGAUAGUGGAUUUACUCAUUCAAUUGCUAUCUUGAAACAAUGAGAGAACGAAUUGACAAUUCAUUGCAAACGAAGUGAUCAAUUUGUAGAAAUGUUUGCACUUUCUUGGUCAUUUGUCAUUAAAGGAAUCAAGAAGGAAGAAGGAUAAUGACUACACACGUAGAAACACCGAUUACGACAUGAUUGGACGAGGGUGCAAUUCCCUCCGCUUCCACCA
rnacentral:tmRNA from 1 species